CAGCCGCCACGGUAACACGGAGGGUGCAAGCGUUAUCCGGAUUCACUGGGUUUAAAGGGUGCGUAGGCGGAUCUGUAAGUCAGUGGUGAAAUCUCCAGGCUUAACCUGGAAACUGCCGUUGAUACUAUAGGUCUUGAAUUUUGUGGAGGUUAGCGGAAUAUGUCAUGUAGCGGUGAAAUGCAUAGAUAUGACAUAGAACACCAAUUGCGAAGGCAGCUGGCUACACAACUAUUGACGCUGAGGCACGAAAGCGUGGGGAUCAAACAGGAUUAGAUACCCCCGUAGUCCCUGUCUCUUAUAC
rnacentral:rRNA from 1 species